AUGGGGCAGAAGGCGAAGAAGGAAGCCCCUGGCCCUCCCAAAGCCGAAGCCAAAGCAAAGGCUUUGAAGGCCAAGAAAGCAGUGUUGAAAGGCGUCCACAGCCACAAAAAAAAGAAGAUCCAGAUGUCACCGACCUCCUGAUGGCCCAAAACACUACGACUCAGGAGGCAGCCCAAAUAUCCUCAGAGGAGCACCCCUAGGAGAAACAAUCUUGACCACUAUGCCAUCAUCAAGCUCCCCCUCACCACUGAGUCGGCCAUGAAGAAGAUAGAGGACAACAACACACUUGUGUUCAUUGUGGAUGUCAAGGCCAACAAGCACCAGAUUAAACAGGCUGUGAAGAACCUCUAUGACACUGAUGUGGCUAAGGUCAACACUCUGAUCAGGCCUGAUGGAGAGAAGGCAUAUGUUCAACUAGCUUCUGACUAUGAUGCUUUGGAUGUUACUAACAAAAUUGGGAUUAUCUAAACUGAGUCCAGCUAGCUAAUUCUAAAUAUAAAAGUCUUCACUAAAUGCAAAAAACAAAAAAACGAAACAAAACAAAAAAAACAAAAAGAAUGAUGGAGGAGCUCCUGCUAUGACGAAACGGGAUCAGCAGCAUCUUGGGAGUGCUGGGAAACAGGUUCAAUCCCCAGGCCGGCACAGUGGGUUAAGGAUCCACCAUUGCCACAGCUGCAACUUAGUUCAUGGCUGCAGCCCUAGAUCUGAUCCCUGGCCCAGGAGCUCAGGAGCUCCAUAUGCCACAGGGCAGUCAAAAAAAAAAAAAAAAAGAUGGAUAUUGUAUUUACAACCUAUAGAGAAAUAUAGUUUGUUUCCCACUUCUCAAAUAUAUCUCA